rnacentral:rRNA from 1 species
GUAUCCUUACCUGAAUACAUAGGGUAAGGAGGCGAACCGGGGGAACUGAAACAUCUAAGUACCCCGAGGAAAAGAAAUCAACCGAGAUUCCGAAAGUAGCGGCGAGCGAAAUUGGACUAGCCCUUAAGCUUUACACGCGUUAGACGAACGGUCUGGAAAGUCCGACGAUACAGGGUGAUAGUCCCGUAGUUGACGACGUGUGUUCAGUGAAAUCGAGUAGGGCGGGACACGUGAUAUCCUGUCUGAAUAUGGGGGGACCAUCCUCCAAGGCUAAAUACUACUGACUGACCGAUAGUGAACCAGUACCGUGAGGGAAAGGCGAAAAGAACCCCUGUGAGGGGAGUGAAAUAGAACCUGAAACCGUGUACGUACAAGCAGUAGGAGCA